rnacentral:rRNA from 1 species
GAUGAACGCUGGCGGCGUGCUUAACACAUGCAAGUCGAACGGAAAGGCUCCUGCUUGCAGGGGUACUCGAGUGGCGAACGGGUGAGUAACACGUGGGUGAUCUGCCCUGCACUUCGGGAUAAGCCUUGGAAACUGGGUCUAAUACCGGAUAGGACGAUGGUUUGGAUGCCAUUGUGGAAAGUUUUUCGGUGUGGGAUGAGCUCGCGGCCUAUCAGCUUGUUGGUGGGGUAAUGGCCUACCAAGGCGUCGACGGGUAGCCGGCCUGAGAGGGUGUACGGCCACAUUGGGACUGAGAUACGGCCCAGACUCCUACGGGAGGCAGCAGUGGGGAAUAUUGCACAAUGGGCGCAAGCCUGAUGCAGCGACGCCGCGUGGGGGAUGACGGCCUUCGGGUUGUAAACUCCUUUCGCUAGGGACGAAGCGCAAGUGACGGUACCUGGAGAAGAAGCACCGGCUAACUACGUG